GGGGGUGUAGCUCAUUUGGCAGAGCGUUCGCUUUGCAUGCGAAAGGCAGGGGGUUCGAUUCCCUCCACCUCCA